UCUCCUUUUACUUUGGGUCCUUUCAAAUCCAGGUCAACAUCAGGUAUGGAGAUCUUGGGAGCUUUGAUAUUUAUUUCAGGCAUCUUGAACUUGGGGCCCUUUAGUUUCGCAUCUGGACCUUCGAUAUUCACAUCAGGAACAUCAACGUCCACUUUGGGUCCUGAGACAUCAAUGUCAGCCUUGGGCAGGUUCACAUCCACAUCUGGGCCCUCUCCUUUGAAGCCAGGCAUGCUGAAUUUGGGCAUUUUCACUUUGGGCAUUUUUAGGUGCCAGUCUGGGCCUUGAACCUCCACAUCUGGGACAUCAAUGUCCAUUUUGGCACUUUUAAGUUCAACAUCAGGAACUUUAAUCUCACUUUCAACC
rnacentral:lncRNA from 1 species